UACGUAGGGGGCAAGCGUUGUCCGGAAUCAUUGGGCGUAAAGAGCGUGUAGGCGGUUCGGUAAGUCGGCUGUGAAAGUCCAGGGCUCAACCCUGGGAUGCCGGUCGAUACUGCCGGACUAGAGUUCGGAAGAGGCGAGUGGAAUUCCCGGUGUAGCGGUGAAAUGCGCAGAUAUCGGGAGGAACACCUAUGGCGAAGGCAGCUCGCUGGGACGUUACUGACGCUGAGGUGCGAAAGCGUGGGGAGCAGACAGG
rnacentral:rRNA from 1 species